UACGUAGGGAGCAAGCGUUGUCCGGAAUCAUUGGGCGUAAAGCGCGCGUAGGUGGCCACAUAAGUCCGUUGUGAAAGUCAAAGGCUCAACCUUUGAAAGCCGAUGGAUACUGUGUGGCUAGAGUACGGAAGAGGCGAGUGGAAUUCCUUGUGUAGCGGUGGAAUGCGCAGAUAUCAGGAGGAACACCAAUAGCGAAGGCAGCUCGCUGGGACGUUACUGACACUGAGGCGCGAAAGCGUGGGGAGCGAACAGG
rnacentral:rRNA from 1 species